AAACCAUUCUAUUAGUUUGGUACAAAAGUAAUUGCAGUUUUGCUCUCAAAAGUAAUGGCAAAAACCACAAUUACUUUUGCACAAACCUAUAA
rnacentral:miRNA from 10 species